rnacentral:rRNA from 1 species
ACGUAGGAGGCAAACGUUAUCCGGAUUUACUGGGCGUAAAGCGCGUGUAGGUGGUUCUGUAAGUAGGGCGUGAAAGCUCCUGGCUCAACUGGGAGAGGCCGUUCUAAACUGCAGAGCUAGAGGAUGGUAGAGGGAGGUGGAAUUCCGGGUGUAGCGGUGGAAUGCGCAGAUAUCCGGAGGAACGCCAGUGGCGAGAGCGGCCACCUGUACCAUUCCUGAUACUCAGACGCGAAAGUUAGGGUAACAAAUGG